rnacentral:lncRNA from 1 species
UUUUUCCAUUAAAAAAACAUCCCUUUCAAUCAAAACAACACAAUUUCUCAAUCUUCCUAAACCAAAUCAACCAAAAUCUUUAUAUCUAAUCACUACAAUUUUUUUUAAAAUCCAAAACUACUCUCCACCACCACCUGCGCACUACUCACCUUUGCUUCAUUUCCUGCUAAUAUCUCCUCCCUAAUUCUUCCCACACCCCCAACCAACUACUCACUCUUCUAACAAACUCCUCCCUAUAGGACUCUCCGCUACUGUCGUUGUUGUUGUCGUUGGCAGAAGCAACAAAUCAAGCUCAAUUUUCAUGUUCCUCUUCUUCUUUCCUCUUCUUCUUUUGGCUCGUAGGAGCAGUCUCAUUCGAUGAGUCUCUCACCACCGACGAGUUCUAGUCCCCGAAGAACACAAAACAAAAAUCACCACAAGCCUCACCAAGUCACAACCAGAGAGAGAUUUUGAUGAAGAUGUAUACAUCCUUCUAACUCCACUCGACCUCUCUCCCUCUAUCAAUUCCUCUUUACUCGACCCCAGCCAAAUCUAAGAAAUUGCAGUAAUGGGUCAAGUAGUAGAAGGAGAAAGAAGAAAGGUUAUUUGCGGAGAUCUAUGGAUCUUAAGAUUGAACAGUUGAAAGCUUAAAUUAUACGAUUGGAUGAGUAGUAUAAGGUGAGGAUAUUAAUUCAUUGAUAUCUUUAGAAAAUUGUUGUUAUGUCUAGUUGUUGUGGUGUUGGAUUUGGAUUUGUUGUGGGCGAGUUGACUCAGUGAGUUGGUUGAUAUCUUUAGAGAAGCACAGCGGUUGUUGUUAUGUCUAGUUGUUGUGGUUUUGGAUUUGGAUUUAGAAAAAAAAAUUUGUUUGGUAAAUUAAAGUGCUUUUUUUUAGUGAACAAAUUGGUUGUUGAUUGAGUUAUGAAAUUGAUUUUGUUUAUAGAUUUGAUGAUAAUGAAUUUUUAUUUUUUUUGGGUUGGUGUGUUGUUGAUGAUGAAAAUCAUGAAGAAGAUGAUGGAAGGAGAAGGAAGAAGAUGAAUAAUAUAAUUCCUAACGGUUUUUUUUUUUUUUUUUAACGGAAGGGACAAAAACAAGUAACUGAGAUAAAGAUAAAGUACUCAAACAAUUUUCUUUUUUUAGUUAAGGGAUCAAAGCGAUAUCAAAUAAAUAGUUAAGGGAUCAAAAGCGCAUUUAAGCCAAAAAUAUAUUAAUAAAGUUCUACAAAUUAAAUUUAAUAAUUGAUUUAUAUUCAAUAUAAUAUUUACU